rnacentral:SRP_RNA from 2 species
GCUGGGUGUGGUGGCGUGCGCCUGUAGUCCCAGCUACUUGGGAGGCUGAGGCAGGAGAAUUGCUUGGACCCGGGAGGCGGGGGUUGCAGUGAGCCGAGAUCACGCCACUGCACUCCAGCCCGGGUGACAGAGUGAGACUCUGUCCCCA